CAGGCCAUCCUGUGACCUCGGGGUUCACAAGGGUCAGGCACACCAGGCUCGCUGGAGGCCCGCCUGCCCCGCGGGUGUGAUAUCUGCUGUGAUCCCUUUCUGAGAGUCGCUAGAGUUUUAGACGGAGAAAUGCGUGUGUGACCGGCUCUCGGUUGGUGAGGCACUGACGUUCCACAGUCGGUUGAGUGACCCCCUUGUGGGGGUCCCAGAGACAGCUGCACUGCUGCGGUCUUCUUUUCCAAACCGGUCCUCUACAUAGGAUAAGUGUGAGUUUUACGGCGAAGAUGAGAUAGGCCUGCAGCCCUAGCUCUGUGAAGCAGGGUGGUCUUGAACGAGACCCUCGAACAAAUGACAGGUGACUCGUGGCCGUGCCACCUGAAGAGGGACAGGCUCAGCGGAGCUGGUGGAGUGCCCUCUGAGCAGAAGACCACACUGUGUUGGCAAAGCCUUCCUUAGAUGGCAGAGGCAAACCUGUGUUUGAGAUGAGAACAUACCCUCGAAGCCUCAGACAGCUUCCGGACUCCGACAGGUUUCAAGGUCGGAGCCGCCUCUAUUUUUGCAGCUGUUUUCUCUGAAUUGGUGCUGGGCUUUGUGGCUUUGCCACAAUGUUGAUCAGAGAGGGCAGUGCUUCCGGCUGGGCUAUUUCACCCAAUAAGGAGGACUUUCUGCUUUUUUCAUCCUGAGAAAUGAGUGUUAAUGGGAAGAUGCUACUCUGUGGUGCUAUUUGAGGAGUCAAAGAUCUGUCUCCAUCGCUCUCUGCUUUCGGACUGGCUGCAGAUGAGGAUCAAUUAGGAACACAUUAAGGUAAAACAGUUUCUACCUGGGAAAGGUGAGUAUUAUAAUGAUUUCCCCCUUGAGCAACUCGGGGGCGGGGGGUUAGGAGCACCGACCCCAACCCCUUCAGUCAAAAAUCUUCAUAUAACUUUGACUUUCCAAAAACUUAACUAUUUAUUUAUUUAUUUAUUUAUUUAUUUAUUUAUUUAUUUGACA